GCGGGUGUGGCGGAACUGGUAGACGCGCCAGAUUUAGGUUCUGGUGGCUUUUGGCCGUGGGGGUUCAAGUCCCUUCACCCGCACCA
rnacentral:tRNA from 1 species